UGGGGAAUUUUGCACAAUGGGGGAAACCCUGAUGCAGCGACGCCGCGUGAUUUAGAAGGCCUUCGGGUUGUAAAAAUCUUUUCUAUGGGAAGAAAAUGACAGUACCAUAGGAAUAAGGACCGGCUAGUUACGUGCCAGCAGCCGCGGUAAUACGUAAGGUCCGAGCGUUGUCCGGAAUCAUGGGGCGUAAAGGGUACGUAGGCGGGUAAGCAAGUUAGAAGUGAAAUCCUAUAGCUCAACUAUAGUAAGCUUUUAAAACUGCUCAUCUUGAGGGAUGGAAGGGAAAGUGGAGUUCCUAGUGUAGCGGUGAAAUGCGCAGAUAUUAGGAGGAAUACCGGUGGCGAAGGCGACUUUCUGGCCAUCACCUGACGCUGAGGUACGAAAGCGUGGGUAGCAAACAGG
rnacentral:rRNA from 1 species